rnacentral:rRNA from 1 species
GCCAUGCGAGUCGAGAGGGUUCGGCCCUCGGCUGACGGCUCAGUAACACGUGGAUAAUCUGCCCUUAGGUGGAGCAUACCCUCGGGAAACUGAGAAUAAUACUCCAUAGGUCUAGGAUGCUGGAAUGCACUUAGAUCAAAAGCUCCGGCGCCUAAGGAUGAGUCUGCGGACUAUCAGGUUGUAGUCAGGGUAAAGACCUGACUAGCCUACGACGGAUACGGGUUGUGAGAGCAAUAACCCGGAGAUGAUAUCUGAGACACGAUAUCAGGCCCUACGGGGCGCAGCAGGCGCGAAAACUUCACACUGCGCGAAAGCGCGAUGAGGGAAUCCCAAGUGCUUGCACGUAAGUGUAAGCUGUUUCUUUGUUUAAAACGCAUUGAGAGUAAGAGCUGGGUAAGACGGGUGCCAGCCGCCGCGGUAAUACCUGCAGCUCAAGUGGUGGUCGCUAUUAUUGGGCCUAAAACGUCCGUAGCCGGUUUUGUAAAUGCCUGGGUAAAUCGGGCCGCUCAACGGUUCGAAUUCCGGGUAGACUGCAAAACUUGGGACCGGGAGAGGCUAGAGGUACUCCUGGGGUAGAGGUGAAAUUCUGUAAUCCUAGGGGGACCACCAGUGGCGAAGGCGUCUAGCUAGAACGGGUCUGACGGUGAGGGACGAAGCCCUGGGGCGCAAACCGGAUUAGAUACCCGGGUAGUCCAGGGUGUAAACGCUGCUUGCUUGAUGUUAGUCGGGCUCCGAGCCCGAUUAGUGUCGGAGAGAAGUUGUUAAGCAAGCUGCCUGGGAAGUACGGUCGCAAGACUGAAACUUAA